UGGGCUUCUCUCAUUGGAGAGGCUAUUUUAACAUCUCUCAUGAUGUCCAUCCAGCAGAAGAGGCUUGGACGCUCGUCAGGAGCAGGUGAGACAGGUUCCUCCUGCGAUGGCGAGCACAGCGGAGCACCAGCCGAUUAUGAAAAAGACUCCAGCAGUGCCGGCAAUCCUCCCUUUGAGAACAUAGUUUUCCCCUCCUGCCUUCGAACACUGUACUCCUAUCAGGGCCGCCACUAGA